AGCUAAAUCAAACAAUUUCCGUACGGAACUAACUUAAUUAAAUUAGUUUCUUACAAAAUGUGUCGGACAUUUUGAAUCUUUCAUUAUGAUUAAAAAUUAGAGUUUCUUAUUAAUCUUAAAUUAUGUAAUAAAGGUUUAGAAAAAAUAAAAGAAAUUUGUUUUUAGUAUUAUAUUGUGGCUAAUGAAGGAGUUAAAAAGUCCUUCCAGUCAGUUGCAACAACAAUUAAAGCAGCAGGAAACAGCCAAGUACACAUGCAAGUGAUUGUUAUGAAGGUUGCAAAACUUUUAAAUAUCAGAAACUGAAGAAAGUAUUGAUAAUCAGCAGAUAUCAAAAAAGUGCAGAAGUACUGAUUAUACAACUCUUUUUAAGUUGAGGAAGAAUUUUAUGUUAAUGUUAAUGCAAAAGGUACGAAUAUUGACAGUUAAACCAUCACCACUUCCACAGCCACCUUGUCUCAAGCAUUAAAUCGCAUUCUAAGAUAUCUUUAUUCAAAUUAAGUGUGACUACUUUACCAAAAGACUCAAGAAUGGACCAAUCAACUAACCAUCAGUACUUGCAAAGUCUCCUUUUCUGUAAGCCCAAAAAUUGAGUUCUAAAAUACCAUUAUCCACAUAACUACUAUAUCAAAGUACAAUCUAAUGGAUUGAUCAAAUUGUUAUGAAGGUUGCAAAACUUUUAAAUAUCAGAAACUGAAGAAAGUAUUGAUAAUCAGCAGAUAUCAAAAAAGUGCAGAAGUACUGAUUAUACAACUCUUUUUAAGUUGAGGAAGAAUUUUAUGUUAAUGUUAAUGCAAAAGGUACGAAUAUUGACAGUUAAACCAUCACCACUUCCACAGCCACCUUGUCUCAAGCAUUAAAUCGCAUUCUAAGAUAUCUUUAUUCAAAUUAAGUGUGACUACUUUACCAAAAGACUCAAGAAUGGACCAAUCAAGUAAGAUGUCUAAAUCUAUAUCUUUUAUAUAGAACUCCUUUAUUUUUAGAUAAACCUGUUAAUUUUAUGACUUAUGAACAUAUUUAGCAAUGUAAUCCUUUUAGGAUAGACUUUUUAAAAUCAAUUUUACAAUGUUUUAGUAAAUUUUUAUUUAAAAUAACUUUGUAUACAUAAUAUAUCUAUAUAGUUAUUUACAUAAUAGCUAACCAUCAGUACUUGCAAAGUCUCCUUUUCUGUAAGCCCAAAAAUUGAGUUCUAAAAUACCAUUAUCCACAUAACUACUAUAUCAAAGUACAAUCUAAUGGAUUGAUCAAGUAAUACUUAAUUUUUACCUUGAAUUGCGUGUUAGUACAUAUAUAUGACUUUGAUAUAUAAAUUUUAAUUAUUAUGUUUGUUGAUUAGUUUUUAAACUUUAAGAAGUGUAAGAAUUACAAUUUUAUUUUUACAUGUUUAUUUAUAUUGUAGUGAAACUGUCGGUAUCUCCACAACUUUUCAAUUAAAUAAAAAGUUUCAAUUAAACAGGAUACUAAGUGUGCCUACUGCUCCUCAAGACAAUGAAUAAUGGGAGUUAUCAAACUUAUACAUACAUAUAUAUAUAUGUUGUACAGAUAUUGUUAUAAAGUAAUAGAAUACUGUAUAAUAUUGUAUUACUAUGUUUAGGAAGGGCACUGCAGUUGUCCUGCAGUUAUGCAACUUAUCAACCCAUAACUGCGAUAACUGCAAAUUAAUAAGAAAAGAGAUUGUAUGACUUCGGUAUCCGCAAUACGGUAUCGUGCAUUGAUUUCCAUCUUAGAAUGGCUCCCUUCCGUAUAGGUGGAAAUAGGAAAGAGCAUACCUUUUUUCUAAUUCUUAAGACGAAGAGGCUUAAUCGGAUCAAACAAAGAUGACGAUGAUCAUUAUGGAGCCGAUCAUGAUGACGAAUACGAUAAUGCAUAUAAUAAUAAAUAAAAUGAUUUUACUUGUAUCUUAGACUUAAA